rnacentral:lncRNA from 1 species
CCUAUCUUAUCCAUAGUUCGGAAAGUUCAAGUUUGCAAUAUUUAUACCAUCCAUAAGUCACCCUAGCUCUUCAUAUGAUUAUAUGUCAUGAGCACAAUCCAACUCAUUCUUAUGAGAAGAAUGAUUCAAGUAAAAUCUGCAAAAAGAAGAUCAAGUCAAUUACAAAUGUCAGAAAAAUGCACAAACGAAAAACCCAGUGAAUUACCAAAUAUAAGCACGCACCGUCACAUGUAUGUCUUUUAAAAGAAAAAACUCUAGUUAAGUUAUUACAAUGUAAUAAGAUUGAAGUUGUUGAUCCACAAAAUAAAGAAAAAAUAAGUAACAUUACCUAACAAACAUUGAUUUCAGAUUUGGUCCCAAAAACCGAAAAUUAUUUUAGCAGAUUUAUAGCAACAUGGUAGUACUUCAUAUAUCUUGAGAUAGAAAAUCUCUAACACUUCCGGUUCAAUAUUCCACGUAUGACAAUACCUCAUGUUCAUACAUGAAGCAGAAAUAAAUUAUUGAUUUCCACCGAGUUUUUAAUUUAUCUACAAUUGCUUUGUCGACUCUGUAAACUUUUCCCCAUUGUUCCUUUCAUUGGGUCAAUGAUUUUUUAUAAUUCAAUUUGUUAUGUUGCAGUUAAAUUAUAACUCCUUCCAACUUUUUCUUUAUGCAAGCACAAUUGUCUUAUAAAGUGUAAAGCAUUGUAUUACUAACCAUCAUGGUCAAAGAACUAUUAUUUGUGAUCAAGCUGAUUUUGCGCGAACACAACUAUGUAAGGAUCUAUGAAAGGCGUGAAAAAUCUGUUAAAAGCAAGUGCUAUAAAUUAUUAAUACCAAAUGCAUGCUACAAUAACAUUUACAUUCAAUAUCUAUUCAAAGCAGCGCAAAAGAUAAUCACAUUGAGAGCAACUUACUUGAAAUGCUUUCCGAACCAUUCCAACAUUUCUUAAUUAGCCUCGCCAGCUAAUUUCACACCCAUUAACAUGUAUCUCUCUUUACCAAUUUUGAAAAGUAAAAUUUGAUGAGUAUUGUAAUGUCACAAGGUGGACACCAUGUAAAUACUCCCAUUUUUCUACUCACCGAGACAAAGUAAAUUGGUUCAAGUUGCACUUGUUUUCAGUACAAAAAAGAAUUAUAAAGAAGAAAAGAUUUCAAGGACAUAAGCAGAUAACCCAUUGAGAAUUACAUAUUCUUCAGCAAAGAAGUGUUGCCUAUCUCCAUAGUACCUGAAAGCAAAAAAAUGAUAAUCAUGUUAUAGAUUGGCAGUAGUGCUGAAGCAGAAUGCAUUUUAAAAUAGAAAUUGUUUAUCUACUCUAUCCAAGGAAAGCUCAUAUCUUCUAAUACUUUUGCAAUUAAGCUUGCCGUCUUUAAUUCGUUUUCUGCGAAGUAAUCAUUAACUGAGUUUCUCUCAGUGUCAAUGCACUAAACGAAACAACUACUACAUAUAUUGCAAAAAGUGAACUGUUGUCCACUCUAGAGCUUUAAAAGACACAAACCGAGCAAGUUUCCGCACUACCUAAUCUAAGCAAAAAUAGGGUAAAUAUAAAACUAUAUAGAACUCACUCUUAUCAGCUAAAUAUUAUGACGACAAAGCAGAACAUUGAAUGAUCCAUUUUUUCGAAUUAAGAACAUCGAAUCAGGUGCUUUCAAAUGGACAUCAAAACAUGCAAAUAUUGCUUGAUAUAUAAACUGUGUGAUAUGAUAUAAAUGCUCUAAAUUACUCAUAUUUCGAAGUCAUAGAGUCUCCAAAAAAAGAAGUCUUUUGCAGCUGAAUUUGGAAUCUUUUUGCACAGAUUUCUCCUCUCAUGUCAUAUAAUCACAUAGUACUUUUCUUAUAAAGGACAAAGAUUACUCCUUUUUCUUUUGUACCUUUAGUUUCUUGAGAAAUUCACUUAGGCUUAUUAGUUGUUAAAAAGGGUCUCAUCAGUUGUAUCUUUUUUACCAGCAUAUACUGUUAUAGAAUAGUGCCAAUUUCAGUUGUAUAUGGUGGGUCAAACAGCACAAUAAUGCAUAUAAAGUUUUAUUCUUGAAAAUCUUCUUGUUGUGUUAAGCAAACAUGAGUGUUCUGUGGUAUUGAUUUUCUUGAAAGUUUAAAGAAAGGUGUGAAAACUAUUCUGUGUAAUUAGUAAGGAGGUCAAGAAAGGGGAGCAUGAGGGUAAAAGUAGUUGUGAUGUUGCUGAGAAAUUUAUGGUGGCUAUUAAGGCAUCAAAAGAGGUACCUAAGAAUGCUGUUGUGUGGGCUCUGACUCAUGUUGUUCAACCUGGAGAUUACAUUACACUUCUUGUGGUUGUUCCUUCACAAAAUUCUGGUACAACAUUCAUCUAACUUGUUUCCAUUUCUGUCGGCAUCUCAUUGUGGUAGCACUAAAAUGUUGUAUUAUAUUCAAGUAUAUGUCAACUACAUUUAUAGAAAGCAAAAGGCCUACGAAAAGAGAACUUUUGAUUGGUAUCAUGGAUUUUAUAUAGAAAUGGCUAUUUGGUAUUCUUACUUGCUUUGAGAUUAGGUACUUAUUAGAGUGCAACCGUUAUGAAGAAAUAAAAGAAGGUACUUAAGAGUGUUGCCUGAUUGAAACAAAAUUUCUCUGAAUUGAACAGAAAUCUUGGUUUAUUGAUUAUUCUGCUCCUCUUUGUUGAUUGACACCCUCAUGUCAUCUUAUGGAUGCUGAAUAUAUUCAUCGUGGAUUUUUCCAACAGUCUGUUACUUGUAGCUGUUUUCAAGCUAAGCUGAUCUUGGCUCUUGUAAGAAUGGGAAAGAUAGCCAGUCCUUCAAGGAGGAUUUACUUCUCAAGCCACUGACUUCUAAUUAGUCUAUUGAAGCUAUAGAUAAUAUCUAUGUUCAGAGUAGAGACCAAGAAGACAUAAACCAUAAACCAAGCUCACUUCUAUCAGCUAAGUUUGAAGAUGAUAUCUGGCUGAUAUAUGAACUGUCACAUAGUUGCUCUAAAAUAAUCAAAUUUCAAAAUUUCAAGGGUCAAUGAAAUCACAGUAACCCAGACGAUGACAUCAAGCUGUCCACGAAUAUAAUAUACAGAUAAAAAACCUCAAAAAAAACUCAUACUGCUCUAAAAUAAUCACAUUUCAAAAAUCACAGAGAGCCAUAACACUACGUACAGUAUCCUAGAAAAGAUCAGUUUAAGCCAUCCACGAAGACAAUAAAGAUAAAAAAAACCUUCAAAUAGAAACUCCUUUGCGCUAUAAAAUAAUCAAAUAUCAAAAUUAUAGAGAGCGACGGCACUAUAGUAUCCUAAAAGACCACGUUAAGCUAUCCACGAAGACAACACAUAUAAACAACCCAAAAAAACACAUGCUGCUCUAUAAUAAUCAAAUUACAAAACCACGAAGAGUGAUGGCUAUACAAUAUCCUAGACGAUCAAGUUAAGCUAUCCACAAAUACAAUAAAAAUCCUCAGAUUGCUCUAAAUAAUCAAAUUGCAAAAUCGCAUAGAUCGAUGACACCACAGUACUCUAGAAGAUCACAUAAAGAUAUCUACGAAGACAAUAAAAAAAAUUAAGAUUUUUCUAAAAUAAUCAAAUUUCAAAAUCACAAAAAGCGUUAAACUACAGUAUCUAAGAUGAUGACGUUAAAAAAUACACAGAGAAUACAGAAAAAUCUCUCUUGAGACUUACAUCGGAAGAAUUGCUUAUGAGUUCACCGAGAAGACCUCCAUGUAGUUGUAGAAAGUGUUGAUAAUAAGACUGAGAAGCUGAUUAACCUCAGCCUGGAAAGCAAACGUCUCUCUGUCCGCCAUUUUUUGGUAGAUCUAAAGAGUUGUUGCUACUAUGAAAAAAGAAUCUCAGGCGAAGUGAAACAUAGAGGGACUCGAAAGUAAGAGGGGGUUUACAGGCAGUUUUUAGUGACUUCAUAUUGAGAAAAACUUACUUGAAAUGCUUUCUAAACCAUCUCAACAUGCCUUGUUAUAGCCUCGUCAGCUAAUUUUACACCCAUUCACACGUAACUUUUUCUUUAACAAUUCCCAAAAAUAAAUUUGAUGAGUGACUGUGAAGUUACGAAUCGGAGACCAUGUAGUACUCCAAUUUUCCUACUCCCAGAGAUGAGAAAAGUCGGUUCAAAUUGCACCUAUUUACAAAACAAAAGAAAAUUAGAAAGAAGAAGAGAUUUCAAAGACACAAGCAGAUAAUCCAUUGAGAAUUACAUAUUCCUGAGAAAUUAUGAAUUAGAAUCCUACAAAACUUCAUACUCCAAGCAAAGGAGUGUUUCCUAUAAGGAGUGCUAACAACACCUCUGCAGAAAUCUCAGUUGCACAGACACUUCACUUUCAAUGCCACAUUCGUGUUGAAUUCUUCAAAUAUACACUACUUUUAGAGAAUUUGACAUGCAACCAUUGAUAUUUUUGAAG